GGCGGCGUGCCUAAUACAUGCAAGUAGAACGCUGAAGAGAGGAGCUUGCUCUUCUUGGAUGAGUUGCGAACGGGUGAGUAACGCGUAGGUAACCUGCCUUGUAGCGGGGGAUAACUAUUGGAAACGAUAGCUAAUACCGCAUAACAAUGGAUGACACAUGUCAUUUAUUUGAAAGGGGCAAUUGCUCCACUACAAGAUGGACCUGCGUUGUAUUAGCUAGUAGGUGAGGUAAUGGCUCACCUAGGCGACGAUACAUAGCCGACCUGAGAGGGUGAUCGGCCACACUGGGACUGAGACACGGCCCAGACUCCUACGGGAGGCAGCAGUAGGGAAUCUUCGGCAAUGGGGGCAACCCUGACCGAGCAACGCCGCGUGAGUGAAGAAGGUUUUCGGAUCGUAAAGCUCUGUUGUAAGUCAAGAACGGGUGUGAGAGUGGAAAGUUCACACUGUGACGGUAGCUUACCAGAAAGGGACGGCUAACUACGUGCCAGCAGCCGCGGUAAUACGUAGGUCCCGAGCGUUGUCCGGAUUUAUUGGGCGUAAAGCGAGCGCAGGCGGUUUGAUAAGUCUGAAGUUAAAGGCUGUGGCUCAACCAUAGUUCGCUUUGGAAACUGUCAAACUUGAGUGCAGAAGGGGAGAGUGGAAUUCCAUGUGUAGCGGUGAAAUGCGUAGAUAUAUGGAGGAACACCGGUGGCGAAAGCGGCUCUCUGGUCUGUAACUGACGCUGAGGCUCGAAAGCGUGGGGAGCGAACAGGAUUAGAUACCCUGGUAGUCCACGCCGUAAACGAUGAGUGCUAGGUGUUGGAUCCUUUCCGGGAUUCAGUGCCGCAGCUAACGCAUUAAGCACUCCGCCUGGGGAGUACGACCGCAAGGUUGAAACUCAAAGGAAUUGACGGGGGCCCGCACAAGCGGUGGAGCAUGUGGUUUAAUUCGAAGCAACGCGAAGAACCUUACCAGGUCUUGACAUCCCGAUGCUAUUUCUAGAGAUAGAAAGUUACUUCGGUACAUCGGUGACAGGUGGUGCAUGGUUGUCGUCAGCUCGUGUCGUGAGAUGUUGGGUUAAGUCCCGCAACGAGCGCAACCCCUAUUGUUAGUUGCCAUCAUUCAGUUGGGCACUCUAGCGAGACUGCCGGUAAUAAACCGGAGGAAGGUGGGGAUGACGUCAAAUCAUCAUGCCCCUUAUGACCUGGGCUACACACGUGCUACAAUGGUUGGUACAACGAGUUGCGAGUCGGUGACGGCGAGCUAAUCUCUUAAAGCCAAUCUCAGUUCGGAUUGUAGGCUGCAACUCGCCUACAUGAAGUCGGAAUCGCUAGUAAUCGCGGAUCAGCACGCCGCGGUGAAUACGUUCCCGGGCCUUGUACACACCGCCCGUCACACCACGAGAGUUUGUAACACCCGAAGUCGGUGAGGUAACCUUUUGGAGCCAGCCGCCUAAGGUGGGACAGAUGAUUGGGGUGAA
rnacentral:rRNA from 1 species